rnacentral:rRNA from 1 species
UACGUAGGGUGCAGGCGUUAAUCGGAAUUACUGGGCGUAAAGCGUGCGCAGGCGGUUUCUUAAGUCAGAUGUGAAAGCCCCGGGCUUAACCUGGGAACUGCGUUUGAAACUGGGAGACUUGAGUGUGGCAGAGGGGGGUGGAAUUCCACGUGUAGCAGUGAAAUGCGUAGAUAUGUGGAGGAACACCGAUGGCGAAGGCAGCCCCCUGGGUUAACACUGACGCUCAUGCACGAAAGCGUGGGAGCAAACAGG